CUUGGUGUCCUAACCUAGAAUCAGAACCCAUCUCACCUCUCUCUUCUCUCGCCACUCUGUCCCUCAAGCCCGUCGCCGGCUCCUCAAGCUCUGGUCGCCCCCUCAAGCUCGUCACUGCCUCAAGCUCUGUCGCCCCCUCAAGCUCGUCGCCGCCUCAAGCUAACGUCGCCGCCUCAAGCUCGUCGCCGCUUCAAGCUCAUCGCCGCUCAAGCUCUGUCGCGCUCUGUCAUAGUUCAUAAGCUCGCCUUCCUGCUUCGGCCAUCAACGCUUCCUCGGCCCUGAGUCUGGGUUUAGGGUUUCAGCUUCGGCCCGGGUCUUCCAUCAACGCUUGCUUCGUCUCUCUGCCUAUCUUUCGGUUUCCAAAGCAAUUUAAAGUCCCGGGGACCGGGUUUGAGCGAGUUGCUAUAUGAAUUGCGAAAACCGCAACGUUCCAAUCCAAGCGAGAAGAAGAAGCUGAAGCACACAGGGAACAAAGUAAAAGAGGAAUCCACCAUGGAGAAGAAGAUGAAUCAUAAGAGCAAGAGCAUUCAAGACAUCCUUCCUCUUGAGCUGAUUCGCAGAAUCCUGCUGAGGGUGCUGGUCAAACAUCUAGCUCGCCUGAAGUGUGUUUCAAAGCUGUGGUAGUCUCUAAUUUCCGAUCCACGUUUUGCUGAAUUGCAUUUUAACCACUCUCCUGCUGCCACUAACGCACUCGUCUUCAUAAAAAACCUCACUGUAGCUUACUUCGUUUACUUAGAAGCCCUAUUUAGUAACGACAAUCAUGCAUCACGCGUAAAAGUGAUGUGUCCCCCUUUUCAGAUGAAAAAACCAGCUUCUGAUUUUGAGGUUUUUGGAUCGUGCAGAGGCUAUGUUCUCUUACAUGGAAACUCACAUUUUCUUUUGGUAUGGAACCCACUGACUGUAUCCAGCAAAAGAAUAUUCUACUCUCAUAUUGUUUCUAGUUGUAAGCACCAGGACUUUAUCCGUCCCUCCAAAUUCCAUCUCUAUGGAUUUGGUUAUGACGCAUCACAGGAUGACUAAUUAGUUGUUGUAGCUUGGCAGGAUAAGCAUGGCCAAUAUCACCUUAAUUGCUUUUCCUUGAGAACCAAUUCAUGGAUUAUUUUUGCUACUCCACUCCCCAAACCCUUGGGUUUUUAUAACUGCUAUUUUCAUGGGUUGUUCUUUAAUGGCGCUAUUCAUUGGGUGCCUUUGCAUCUUAAAGAUUACAGGGAUGCUAUUCUUUUCUUCGAUUUGAAGGAAAGGACUUUCUCAAUGAUAUCUGCCCCAGAAUAACCGGUAACGAGUUCAUGUGACUAUUCAGGUUUCAGGUCUCGCCCUACUAGGAGGCUGCCUAGCCUUGUAUUAUCACAAUCGUGAUAGCUGUAACACUCACAUAUGGGUGAUGAAAAUAUAAAGUGCACUCAUCUUGGACUCUUAAGAUUUCUUGCAAAGUCUUUCAGCCAUUGUGCUUAUCCAGUGAUAUAUAUUAUUGGAAGAGAUUAUGAUAAAAGAGGGUACUUCAUGUACAAUGUCAGAGGAGACCUGCUCAAGCAUUUUAAAAAUCUCUAUUGUCCGCUUCCCAUCGGUGAAACCUUUACUGUGUAUAAAGAGAGUCUCUUGCCACUCCCUAGUGAGUAGUGACAUUAAGGAUAAGGAUAAUCGGUAUGUAACUAUCCUCCUAUGCUUUGCACCAAGCUAUUCCUGUUAGUUUUCAUUGCAUUAUGAUUAAUGAAUAAGUAAUGAAUAAUAUGCACUGUGCAUCAAGUUCCAAUCAAAUGCCACUUUUGUCUAUGGAUGGUGAAAUUGAAAUUUAUCAAUGCUUAGGGAAUGAUUGAUCACUGUCUUGCUUCCUAAAGCCUAGUCUUGUGGUGAGGGAUUUUAACUUUUACAUUUUUUUUUCAUGUGUAAUGCAAUGGUGAUCUUUUCUGUAGGCAAUCAGAGUCAGAAAGAUGUCAAACAAGGAAAGAGAAUUAGAAUAGAAUGACUGCACAACAGAGCCACUUAAUUCUGUUGUAAAUAAAGUGUAGGAUUGACAAAUUGAGCUGGAAGAAGCUUCUAGACAAUUUGAUUUUAUUUUGGCUUUGCUUUGCUUUGCUUUAAAAUGUGAUUUCCUUUCUUCCAACUAUGAAUGUGAAAAACUGGAACAUUUGAAAGUCCAAAUAUAGCUUCCUCUAGUUGAAUCCAA